AGGAAUAAAUUACGGAAUCUGCACAUGAUUCGAAACUUUGUUUAGUUUUGAGGGAUUUACAUCCAUUAUUAUGGGGCUUUAGCUCAGCUGGGAGAGCGCCUGCUUUGCACGCAGGAGGUCAACGGUUCGAUCCCGUUAAGCUCCAUUGUCUGCAACUUGAUGCCGACAAGACUUGUUCUUUGAAAACUAGAUAAUAUUUUAUUUCUUUGUUAAUUUUUAUAACCGAGAACACCGCGUUUUAAAGAGUUUAAAACAAGAAAUUAGUUCUUAAUCGCAAAACUCAUAACCGUUUAUCGCAAGAUAAAUAUUAUA
rnacentral:tRNA from 1 species